CAAAAAGAAAAAAAAGAAAAAAAAGAAAAAAAAGAAAAAAAAGAACAAAAAAUCGACGAUGAACUAUAUAAAAAAUGUACAAAAACGCGCAAGAAAGGAUGGACAGAUAGUACAAGAGAAAAUCGACUCGGGUAAAACAAAAAAAAAAUGUACAACGGAUAAAGAUAAAGAUAGCUUGAAAAACAUAAGUUUAAAUAUUACUGAAGAUGAGAUAAAGUUACAUUUGAAAAUUAUUGAAUGUUUAUAUCCAGAUAAAAAACUAAAAGUCAAUAGCCUAAUAAAUGGAAGUUACAACAUUUUUACGAAAUUUUUGGUACAAUCUCAUAUUGAUGCUUUUAACUCUUUAGUGAAUAUAUAUUUGAAAAACAUGCCUGAAAAUAUCCCAGUAGUGAAAAUAACACCAAUGGCUAGUCAAUACACUAUUUUAAAUUAUGAUAAUAAAUUAUCCGAAUGUAUUAAUAUUUAUGUAAGUGAUAUAGAGAUAAAAAGACCGAUGAUAGAAAGUGAUAGUACUAAGGAGAGUAAAAAAUUGAAUUACCCAUAUUUGUGCAAAGCAUCUGCUCAAACAUAUGAAGGUGAAAUAUUAAUAAAAAUCAACAAAGAAUAUAAAAAUGAAAUUGUUACUUCAACUGUUAGUUGUGGAUAUAUGCCUAUUAUGGUUAUGUCUGAUUUAUGUAAUUUAUCAAAGUUGAAUAAAAAAGAAUUAAUUGAAAAAGGAGAAGAUGAUAAUUUGCUAGGUGGUUUUUUUAUAAUUUCAGGGCGUUUAUCAGUCAUUCGAUUUGUUAUAAAUUCUAAAUAUAAUACAUUAUUAUUAACUAAUAAUAAUAAAGUAUUAAUUCAUUGUUUAUUAAACGACAAUACUGUUGUUAUAAACUCAUUACAAUGUACAAACCAUGAAAAUUAUUUUUUACAAUCAAGAUUUAUAUCAUCUUGUAUGAGGGUCCCUUUACAUGUGUUACUACUAUGCCUAAGUCCAGUAAAAAAAAAAAGUUAUGUUUUUAAUAAGAUCAAAUUAGGUAUUAAAAAUAAAAAUGUAAUUGCAUACAUAGAACAGUAUGUAAAUAGUAUUUUUUUAAAAGAAAAAGUCAUUAAUGA
rnacentral:lncRNA from 1 species